UGGAUUAUAUGGGCGUUUAAGAUUUGGAUUUUAGAGACUUUUGCAGCACAUGUGCGUUGUUGGGAGCAUGACUAUGCCUUCAUCCCAAGACUAAUAGAGUGUUAAAGGCGGGACCUCCUACAACGCCAAAGUUUACUUUUGGUGGAUUUAUAUGGACGUUUAAGAUUUGGAUUUUAGAGACUUUUGCAGCACAUGUGCGUUGUUGGGAGCAUGACUAUGCCUUCAUCCCAAGAGAUCCCAAGAGCCCUUGCUUGGAAAAAGCAAUCAACAUUUCAUGUGAAUGUGGAUGCAGCACCAUUACUAAGUAGCAUUAAUAAUCUUAACCCACCAAUACAUCCCAUACGGCCCAAGGAUAACGAACGUGGUCAAGAAUGGUACAUAUCUAGUACUAGAUUUUUUAAUGGGGAUCAUGGUGUCUAUCCGCCACCAGUAAGGGAUCAUGGGGAUAUGGUGUCCAUCCGCCACCAGUAUACCGAUAGAUGUUACCGUUCAGGAGCCGCUACUCGCAUUGGAGUCGAUUAGCAAAGAGAUGCAAGCGGUUAACAAAGAGAUACAAGCAGAUAUCUGGAGCUUGAAGAACCGUGUACUAGUAAUUGAGCAGAAAGUUCAGGAUUACACGGACAAUGAAGAUGAGGAUGAAGACGAUGAUUGGCACAAAAUUGACGAGUUGCUAGAACUACAUCAGGAAGGGAUCGGGAUAAUGAUAGAAGAGAAAUAGAGAAGAUGGGGUAAUCAGGGGAGAGAAGGAGAUGUACAUGGUGAGUUUUGAUUAGUUGAUAGUUGAUACAUGGCAAAAGUGUGAUUUAUACAAUAAAGCCACGGGUAUUUUGUCCAGAAUCAAUCACAUAAAGAAAAAAGACCAAGAGGUUGACUACUCGAACAAUUUGUACGAGUCGCAAAAUUUAGCGGUGUCACGCAAGUAUAGAUGAGCUUGAGAGUAGAGUUGAUCAAGUCGAGUGCAAGAUCAGUAUAUUCAUAUAAGAGUGAAUCGUGUGAUGACGUCUUGGCCGACAAUAUACUUUUUGAGAUACCGCCAACACAGCAAAAUCAUAUUGACCCCAGCUAUAUCAAGAUGUACAACUUAAUAACACCAAGGCACCUGAUGAGAACGAAGAAAUAGUGUAUGUGUUAAAUAAAGAACUUAUUGCAGAGGUCUUAACACAAGUUGCUACCGGUGUCGAUAAGAAGAACAAGCUACAGGAGGCUCGGGAAGUUGCAUUCUUGAAUGCUGCCCAUUAUAAGAGGUUUCAAGCACACAUGGAAGCAAAGAAGAAUGCGGAAGAAAGAUCGAAUGAAACCUAGAGGAGGAUACGGGAAGGUCAACGGGACUCUAAGAAAAAGUGUCUCAAUUUGAAGAGUGUUAAUGUAAAGGGUGAACCAUCUACUGUCCGUUCAUUUAUCCCUAAGUCAGACUAUUGUAAGUUGCGCUCGGUUGCACCUUGGGUUGAGGAUCUAAAACGGGACGAUCCAUCAAAAAUGUAUCCGGUGCCUAGUUAUUAAUACCAUGAUUUGAAGAGGAUGGCAGGUCUUGAGGGAUGGCGUUUGUCAUUUUCUCCUGAUAUAAUCUUAAGAGAACCAUUUUGGGAUGCCCUACUUUGCAUGGAUACCGGCCAUCGAAAGGGUUGGUUGCACGAUGAGGCCACCCAAUGCGGACUGGUGUAUGGUGGAUGGCUGGUUUCUCACACUUCUUUUGAGGGGUGAUGUAAGUAAUUUAUAUGGAGAUGGGCGGCGGUUCAAGGUGUCAUUUGGAGAAGUUGAUCGUGUAUUGAUUCCGAUAAACAGUGUGGAAACGCAUUGGACUCUUGGAGAGUUUCAUAUACCUACAGGAGUGAUGAUGAUAUACGACAACUAUCAUGACUGGCUUUCUUCGGCAACUAACAAAGUAGGUGUGGAAUCUAUGAUUACGACGGUGAAACAACAACUGCCCUUAUAUCUUCAGCGAUUGGGUGUAUUUGAAAAGAGAGGCCUUGAUUACAGUUUGUACAACAUAACAUGGGAUACAUUUCCAAAACAGUUGACCCCUCAGCAAGGACCUUUGUUUGGUGAUUGUGGUGUCUUUGUAUGUAUAUUUUUAUACCGUCUAAGUCAUGGCUUGGGCUUAGAUGUGGGAGAUCCUAUCCAAGCUGCUCUAGCUUAUAGGGAGCGUAUGACUGAUCUUGCCUUGGAGUAUAAGGAACGUGUUUAUGAGGAAUCGGAAGUCAAAAAGCUCAGGAAGGAAGCGGGGAAACGAAAAGGACAUUUUUACUAAAGACUUCAGUAUCCAACCAAUGUAAGAGACCAAUUAGAAGGUGUAGGGUGUAGCUUUUGUUUGAUCCAUUUUCAAGUUGUUUAUGGCUAGUAACUUUGUGUAGACAGUAUUUGUGAUGGUUUUCACUUAAACGUUGGACAAAUGGUUUUUAAUGUUGUAUUGUUUUGAAGGUUUUGGCUAUAUGCUACAAAUUGUACCGACUCUCGAUGACAAUGGUUUUUGUUUUAUGUUGACAUACCUGAUUUUAGGUGUAA